rnacentral:sRNA from 1 species
GCUGGGCACGGUGGUGCAUGCCUGUAAUCCCAGCUGCUUGGGAGGCUGAGGCAUGAGGAUCACAAAUUCAAAGCCAGCCUCAACAACUUAUUGAGACUGUGUCUCUA